AGAUUCAGGUGUAUGGGCAGAGAAACAUGACUGUGAUGUGAAGGCAGAUUCAGGUGUAUGGGCAGAGAAACAUGACUGUGAUGUGAAGGCAGAUUCAGGUGUAUUGAGCAGAGAAACAUGACUGUGAUGUGAAGGCAGAUUCAGGUGUAUGGGCAGAGAAACAUGACUGUGAUGUGAAGGCAGAUUCAGGUGUAUUGGGCAGAGAAACAUGACUGUGAUGUGAAGGCAGAUUCAGGUGUAUUGGGCAGAGAAACAUGACUGUGAUGUGAAGGCAGAUUCAGGUGUAUUGGGCAGAGAAACAUGACUGUGAUGUGAAGGCAGAUGCAGGUGUAUUGGGCAGAGAAACAUGACUGUGAUGUGAAGGCAGAUUCAGGUGUAUUGAACAGAGAAACAUGACUGUGAUGUGAAGGCAGAUUCAGGUGUAUUGAACAGAGAAACAUGACUGUGAUGUGAAGGCAGAUUCAGGUGUAUUGAACAGAGAAACAUGACUGUGAUGUGAAGGCAGAUUCAGGUGUAUUGAACAGAGAAACAUGACUGUGAUGUGAAGGCAGAUUCAGGUGUAUUGAGCAGAGAAACAUGACUGUGAUGUGAAGGCAGAUUCAGGUGUAUGGGCAGAGAAACAUGACUGUGAUGUGAAGGCAGAUUCAGGUGUAUUGGGCAGAGAAACAUGACUGUGAUGUGAAGGCAGAUGCAGGUGUAUUGGGCAGAGAAACAUGACUGUGAUGUGAAGGCAGAUUCAGGUGUAUUGGGC